UGUUCGGCACAGUGCUUAUGUUCUGGCUUCCUGUUCGGCUCAGUGCUUACUGCUCUAAUUGGGGGCAACAUAGCUCAGGAGGUAAGAGCGGUUGUCUGGCAGUAGGAGGUUUGCCGGUUCGAUCCCCCACCAUGGGCGUGUCGAAGUGUCCCUGAGCAGGACACCUAACCCCUAAUUGCUCCCAACGAGCUGAUUGGUAUCUUGCAUGGCAGCCUUUCGCCGUUGGUGUGUGAGCGUGAAUGGGUGAAUGGGUGAAUGAGAGGCAUCAAUUAUAAAGCGCUAUGUAAAUGCAGGCCAUUUACCAUAUAAUUGAUUCAUAAAGUGCAGAGUCACUGUGAAAGCCAGCAGACCCUGUAGCUCUCCAGGACCAGGCUUGGAGACCGCUGGUGUAGAGCAUUGUGUCUGGAUGGGUUUUGCAGACAGCUAAGGAUGGCAGCGCCUCUUUGUCCGUCUGGUCCCCUGCUGGCUGAUCGGGCACCUGUCUGCGAGCUCACCUGGCACGCGGCGUACGAAAGAGCCUUCCUCGCACUCGUCUGCGCGGGGACCCAUUCACAAAACAAAGAGCGGCUGGCAUCGUGCGCUUCGGAGGAGAGCGCGCGCUCGUUUCAAAAAUUACGAUCCUAGUCCUAGACUCAAAGAACAAUUCAGUGAAGAUCUCCAUUGAAAAAAAAGAAGGCCUAGUCCAUGUCUGGGAAACCAAUCUUUAAUUGUUCUUUUUUUUUGUUUAAUUUUCUUACACCAGAGGAACAAACAACUUUGCCAAUUCCUCAAAACCAACUAAUUCAUAAACAAACUAAAUAACAUGGGAUGUAUGUACAAAUAAACAGGGAAAUAAAGUCUUGAUGAUCACCUCUGCCCGUGGACAGACAGUGGCAGCCAUUUUAACAGUUUUCAAAGUCUCUGAACCUUCAUCACGUGAAGGGAAGUCCUCCCAUUCAUAAACACAAGGCUCCUUAAAUGAACCGUGUUUGUCGAUGCCACAUAACGUGUUCUCCACCUUCUCACACACAUGCACAAACACACGCAAACUCACACAAGCCUUCUCACACACACUCAAACACACAGACUCGCACAUGAGCUCUUGCACACACACUCAUACACACAGACUCACACAAGCUUUAUCACACACACUCAUACAC